AUGAUCUUGAGUAUUAAGGGUGCUUAUAAAAGUUAAAAGGGAAUACAAUAACGCUUGUUCAAUACAAACCGUAAAAUGUAGCUGCUCCCGCAACUGUAAGAAGCUCGUUUAAGUGAAAAUGCCACUGGCUCAAGCUGGGAAGGCCACUUAAGCAUAGGCUCAGCCAGGAAACCUGCCUUUAAAUGUCAUCUCUU
rnacentral:ncRNA from 2 species